UCCGGCUUAUCACCGGCAGUCCCUCUAGAGUGCCCAACUGAAUGCUGGCAACUAGAGGCGAGGGUUGCGCUCGUUGCGGGACUUAACCCAACAUCUCACGACACGAGCUGACGACAGCCAUGCAGCACCUGUGUCCUCGUCCCGAAGGAAGGAACCCAUCUCUGGGAACCGUCGAGGCAUGUCAAAGGCUGGUAAGGUUCUGCGCGUUGCUUCGAAUUAAUCCACAUAAUCCACCGCUUGUGCGGGUCCCCGUCAAUUCCUUUGAGUUUUAACCUUGCGGCCGUACUCCCCAGGCGGUCAACUUCACGCGUUAGCUUCGUUACCAAGGAAUUGCUUCCCCGACAACCAGUUGACAUAGUUUAGGGCGUGGACUAC
rnacentral:misc_RNA from 1 species